GAUCACGCCCUGGGCUGAAGGCAGACGCUUAAUGACUGAGCCACCCAGGCGCCCCUAAAGAGGUACCUUGCAUGUGAUUUACACAGUGAAUGGCCCUGCUUUCGGAGCAAGUUAAUGAUAUAAUAUCCCCAUUUAUAUUCAGAGCAGUCAACACUUUCUAGCUCUCAGAAUAAUAAAAGCACCUGCAUUUAAUAUACAUGGAAGAAUGGGAAGGCAAAUAGCAGAUAAGGCACAAUCAGAAUUAUUCAUUAUUGAAUGCUUUUUGGAGGUGGGCUGAGACUUAUAUUUUACAAAAGAAAAGCUGUAAGCUUCUUCAGGUCAUUAGAAGAGAUCUGGAUUAUCAGUUGACGCAUGAACUGCACCAUACCGAGAAUUGAAAACACCUCCCCCAGAGGCACCUCCAGAUUUUAGCGAAAUCUGCUCAACAUUUCCGCGUCCCUAUGAUGGAUCAGAGGCAUUCAGAUCUCUGCAAAGACAUCAGAGGAGGAACGCAAAAUGUGUCUGCGUUGAUGUCACUGUGAAGGUUUUCAGUGCACAUGAGCUCUAGGCAGCUUUCAUAUUUCUGCAGGUUGAUGACAAGGAAGAAUAUAUAAGAAAACAGAAACCAACUCCAUCUAGCUAACAUGAAAGGAAUUUAUUGAUGGGACAGUCGGGUCCUGAAAUCUAAGAGUUUAAAUAACCAGCCUUUGAAUGGGCCAGAUCCAGGCAACUCCAGGGACCUCAGAAAAAGAAAAUCAUGGACCUUUUUUCUAGAACACUGACAUCCGUAUUUCUCAUUUUGAGUGAUCUGCAGUGUCAGAUGGACCCGCUCUGGCCAGGAAGAACUGGCCAAGCAGUUUUCCAAAGUGAUUGUAACGUUUUACAUUCCCGCCAGCGAUGUAUGAGAGCUCCAAUUGUUCCAUAUCCUCACCUCCACCUGGCCCCUGGAAGUGCUGCUUCAGCCACUGAUGACCUGUUUUCCUCCAUCCUCUUAUUUUGCUUCUGAAAUACAGUCAGUGUUUUCAGCCGCUUGUUUCCGGCAAGAUGUGGAUUCAUUCUCAGGAUCCUGAGAAAUUUUAAUUUCUGGAUUUGUCCUGCGAGGGAUCACAGUAAUACUGUCAAGUGACGGGACCAUUUUUUAACAGAGCAAGUUGUGUGAACUGGUUGAAUGGAGUGCCAUGAAGGUCUUUAAUAAAUUAUAGGUGGAUUUAUGCGUUCUGCUCAGGGCCAAGGUAGGUUGGCCGAGUUGAAAUGAAAUGGGACAUAUUCAUCCAGAAGGUCCAGUGGGUCCUCGGUAUUAGAGAAAAAAGAUUCAUGAAUGUAUGCUAUGUUUUUCACCUCACAGCCUUCCUAUUCUACAUGGACAAUUGUCUCUAGGAUUGAAUAAUCCCAUCACAUGAAUGUAACACAUUGUCUAGUUGGUUACUUAGGACAGUUUCUUCAGAGUAACCCAACUUACCUUCUGUAAAGUCAUAGGAGUGAGCAGUCUCUCAAAACCAGCCCCACGGUUAAAAGAGGAAAGCAUCAAAGCAAUCUGAGAUGGAUGGGCCUCGUUUGUAUUCUUACCAUCUUUAAGAACAAAUAUGUCACAACCUUUCUUGUGACUAGUGUUUCCCAGCGUGGAUUACAUUUCCUACCUCCCGUGCAUUGUUUAGGAGGAAGAGAUGACCGUAGUUGACAGGAGAGAGCUUCUGCUGAGCUCGGCCGCUUGUAGGGAUGUUGUUGGCUUUGUCAGUCCAUUGUGACUUUCCAUACCCAUCUAUAAGUAACCUCCUGUGAACUGUGCUCCUGAGAAAAGUGUGAAGAUGAGAAGUAGUGAGAUUUUAAAUUAGCAGUGUUUCCCUAACCCGGGGCCAAAGUGUUGGCAGAAGCUGUGAUGUUUGGAAAUUAUUGCUG